rnacentral:sRNA from 1 species
AGUUAAACCCUUUCUCGCGGGCGCAGAGUGGGCCUCCCACGCUUCUCUCCCGUGGCCAGUAUGCGUGAGAGUGUGAGUUGAGCCCCUGCCUCCGAGGAAGAAUUCUAAAAACCGGGCUAAGGGUCGAGCGAGGGAGGCUGACCUUUUCUUGUUAUCAAAUUACUGCGUUUCCCUGAAUUACGGGCACUCAGGAAUGGUGAAAUCUACAUAUUAACCGAGAAACACGACCCUCAAAGGAAGAUGUUGAAACAUUUGUAGCAGAUAUACUGAAAGGAGAAAAUUUAUCCAAGAAAGCAAAGGAAAAGAGAGAAUCCCUUAUUAAGAAGAUAAAAGAUGUAAAGUCUAUCUAUCUUCAGGAAUUUCAAGACAAAGGUGAUGCAGAAGAUGGGGAAGAAUAUGAUGACCCUUUUGCUGGGCCUCCAGACACUAUUUCAUUAGCCUCAGAACGAUAUGAUAAAGAUGAUGAAGCCCCCUCUGAUGGAGCCCAGUUUCCUCCAAUUGCAGCACAAGACCUUCCUUUUGUUCUAAAGGCUGGCUACCUUGAAAAACGCAGAAAAG